rnacentral:rRNA from 1 species
AGGAUGAACGCUAGCGGCAGGCCUAAUACAUGCAAGCUGAACGGUAAAUAGUGUAGCAAUACAUUAUGAGAGUAGCGUAAGGGUGCGUAACACGUAUGCAAUCUGCCCUGUACAGGAGAAUAGCUCGGGGAAACCCGGAUUAAUGCUCCGUAAUAUUGUUGGGUGCAUCACAUGACAAUUAAAGUUGCAAGAUGGUACAGGAUGAGCAUGCGUCUGAUUAGCUAGUUGGUAGUGUAACGGACUACCAAGGCGAAUGAUC